GUCAACUUUUCACGCAGUAGCGGUUAGGUGUUUUGUUCAGAAAGUCGGUGGUCGCUGUGAACCGAUCAAGCCUAAUUGACGAAUUACAUGGAAAGUCCAUACAUUUGAAUAAAAGUUUGAAAGUGAAAAACAGAUCUGUUUUUAAUUAAGGUGGUACCGCGGAGUCAUUCGUCCUUAGU
rnacentral:sRNA from 1 species